CUCAAUGAAAUUUCAAUAGCCGCAAUAUACUUGUGCUAAGGUAGCAUAAUCAUUUGUCUUUUAAUUAAAGACUAGAACAAAAGAUUCAAUAUUUCUAUUUCUUUCUAAAAUAUAUCCCUAUAAAUUAUUCUAAAUAUAAAAAAAUAUUUAUAACUUAAAAAGACGACAAGACCCUAUUGAACUUAACUGAAGUUAAACUGGGGUAGUUAAUUAAACAUUAUUUUAAUUUCAAAAUCAAAAUAUCUAAUAAAAUUAAAUUAAUCAAGUUACCAUAGGGAUAACAGCGUAAUAAUUUUCUCAAGACCUUAUUCAAAAAAUUGUUUGCGACCUCGAUGUUGAAUUAAUAGUCUAUUAAAUGCAAUAAUUUAAUAAGAAAGUCUGUUCGACUU
rnacentral:rRNA from 1 species